AUGACCCAGCGCCUGGAGCUGUGUCCCUCACUGGGGCUCCCCUCAGACAAGAUUCCAGAAUGCUGUCCAGCCUCUUGUGAGUGCCCCUUGUGUGGCCUGCCGCGCCUGUCUCUGAGCCCGCCGGCCAUCGAGGACCUGCUCCUGAGCUCCAAUGCCAGCCUCACCUGCACACUGAGAGGCCUGAAAGACCCCAAGGGUGCCACCUUCACCUGGAGUCCCUUGAGUGGGAACGACCCUUUCCAGAAGGCACCCGAGCUUGAACCCAGCGGCUGCUACAGCGUGUCCAGCGUGCUGCCAGGCUGCGCCAAGCCGUGGAGCCAAAAGGAGACCUUCUCCUGCACCGCCAAGCACCCUGAGCUCAAAGAGUCACAAACUGUCUCCAUCACCAAACCCAAAGAACCCUUGUUCCAGCCCCAGGUCCACGUGCUGCCGCCGCCGUCGGAGGAGCUGGCCCUCAACGAGCUGGUGACGCUCACGUGCCUGGUGCGGGGCUUCAGCCCUAAGGAGGUGUUGGUGCUCUGGCUGCAAGGGCACGAGAAGCUGCCCCGCGAGAAGUACCUGGUCUUUAAGCCCCUGCGGGAGCCCGGCCAGAGCGUGCCCACCUUUGCCGUGACCAGCCUGCUGCGCGUGGAGGCUGAGGCCUGGAAGAGGGGAGACGUCUUCUCCUGCAUGGUGGGCCACGAGGCUCUGCCCCGGGACUUCACCCAGAAGUCUAUCGACCGCCUGUCGGGUAAACCCACCCACGUCAACGUGUCCGUGGUCAUGGCGGAGGCGGACGGCACCUGCUACUGA